rnacentral:rRNA from 1 species
GACGAACGCUGGCGGCGUGCCUAAUACAUGCAAGUCGAACGCUUCUUUCCUCCCGAGUGCUUGCACUCAAUUGGAAAGAGGAGUGGCGGACGGGUGAGUAACACGUGGGUAACCUACCCAUCAGAGGGGGAUAACACUUGGAAACAGGUGCUAAUACCGCAUAACAGUUUAUGCCGCAUGGCAUAAGAGUGAAAGGCGCUUUCGGGUGUCGUUGAUGGAUGGACCCGCGGUGCAUUAGCUAGUUGGUGAGGUAACGGCUCACCAAGGCCACGAUGCAUAGCCGACCUGAGAGGGUGAUCGGCCACACUGGGACUGAGACACGGCCCAGACUCCUACGGGAGGCAGCAGUAGGGAAUCUUCGGCAAUGGACGAAAGUCUGACCGAGCAACGCCGCGUGAGUGAAGAAGGUUUUCGGAUCGUAAAACUCUGUUGUUAGAGAAGAACAAGGACGUUAGUAACUAAACGUCCCCUGACGGUAUCUAACCAGAAAGCCACGGCUAACUACGUG